rnacentral:rRNA from 1 species
UCAGGACGAACGCUGGCGGCGUGCCUAAUACAUGCAAGUCGAACGGUCUUUCUAUGGAAGCUUGCUUCCAUAGAAAAGAUAGUGGCGAACGGGUGAGUAACACGUGGGUAACCUGCCCAUAAGAGGGGGAUAACAUCCGGAAACGGGUGCUAAUACCGCAUAGUUUUCUUGAUCGCAUGAUUGAGAAAGGAAAGACGGCCUUUGUGCUGUCGCUUAUGGAUGGACCCGCGGCGUAUUAGUUAGUUGGUGAGGUAACGGCUCACCAAGACGAUGAUACGUAGCCGACCUGAGAGGGUGAUCGGCCACAUUGGGACUGAGACACGGCCCAAACUCCUACGGGAGGCAGCAGUAGGGAAUCUUCCGCAAUGGACGAAAGUCCGACGGAGCAACGCCGCGUGAGUGAAGAAAGGUUUUCGGAUCGUAAAACUCUGUUGUCAGAGAAGAACAAGUUGGAGAGUAACUGCUCCAGCCUUGACGGUAUCUGACCAGAAAGCCACGGCUAACUACGUGCCAGCCGCCGC